CUGGACCUGGACCUGGACCUGGACCUGGACCUGGACCUGGACCCAGCUGUCAGUCUGCAAUGAGCGACAUGUCAGCUGGGCGCUUAAUUGAUUUUAAAGCACAACCAGCUUCUCUUCCACAUGGACCAAACCAAGAGAGCUCCAACGUUUCCAGUAACCAGGAUGUCCAGCAGCUCAACAAAGUGUUUCAGGUUCUCCGGCAGGACAUCAUCAACUUUGUGGAAGAGGAGCUCAAUAAGUUUCAGGAGGAUCUGCGUCACCCAGAAAUGUUUGAGAGUC